UACGUAGGGUGCGAGCGUUGUCCGGAAUUAUUGGGCGUAAAGGGCUCGUAGGCGGUCUGUCGCGUCGGCUGUGAAAACCCGGGGCUCAACCCCGGGCCUGCAGUCGAUACGGGCAGACUAGAGUGCGGUAGGGGAGACUGGAAUUCCUGGUGUAGCGGUGAAAUGCGCAGAUAUCAGGAGGAACACCGGUGGCGAAGGCGGGUCUCUGGGCCGUAACUGACGCUGAGGAGCGAAAGCGUGGGGAGCGAACAGG
rnacentral:rRNA from 1 species